GAAGAGACAGCGCCGCCGGCCGUGGGGAGCGGACGCAGUGAUUUGCUCCCCCUCGUGCAGCAACCCCCACACCCAGCACCAGGAGCCUGUUCCUCUCACGCCCUCACCUGGCUGAGCCGCAGUAGUUCUUCAGUGGCAAGCUUUAUGUCCUGACCCAGCUAAAGCUGCCAGUUGAAGAACUGUUGCCCUCUGCCCCUGGCUUCGAGGAGGAGGAGGAGCUGCUUUCCCCAUCAUCUGGAAGGUGACAGAAAUGGGCUGGGAAGGUCCGAACAGCAGGGUGGAUGAUACGUUUUGGGCAAGUUGGAGAGCCUUUGCCCAGAUUGGCCCAGCAAGGAGCGGUUUUAGAUUAGAGACACUGGCUGGAUUGAGGAGUAGAAGGCUCAAACAACCCAAGGCUUUCUGCCUCCGAGAUGUGGCACCAUAGUGCGGUGCCCUGUGGCUUCACCGCCCUACUUCCACCUCCGCCCAGCCUGUAAUGUUUAUAUAAGCAGCCUCAAGGACCAAGAACCAUCUGCGAAAGGACAC
ensembl:lncRNA MIR22HG MIR22 host gene